UACGGAGGAUGCGAGCGUUAUCCGGAUUUAUUGGGUUUAAAGGGUGCGCAGGCGGCACGGCAAGCCGGCGGUCAAAUCGCGGGGCUCAACCCCGCCCAGCCGUCGGAACUGCCGGGCUAGAGUAGGCGAGAAGUGCGCGGAAUGCGUGGUGUAGCGGUGAAAUGCAUAGAUAUCACGCAGAACUCCGAUUGCGAAGGCAGCGCACCGGCGCCCUACCGACGCUCAGGCACGAAAGCGUGGGUAUCGAACAGG
rnacentral:rRNA from 1 species